AAGGGAAGAGUUACUCUCUUGGAAGAAGAAGUUAAGAUCUUCAAGAGAUGUUAUUGCAGAUGUGAUGGCUGAUAUUUCUGAACAUGCAUAAAGGAUGAAAGAGAGAUGGGAUAGAUGACUGGGAAUGUAUUUGUUUGUAGUCGAUCCUGACUAUUUAAACGUUUUAUUUUCGGAAUAAUCGGUUUGUAAUAAAUAACGUACUAUUUUUCCGUGGAAGUUGAAUAUUAAAAAUUUGAAUUUUUA